UACAGAGGUCCCAAGCGUUGUUCGGAUUCAUUGGGCGUAAAGGGUGCGUAGGCGGCGCGGCAAGUCGGGUGUGAAAUCUCGGAGCUUAACUCCGAAACUGCAUUCGAUACUGCCGUGCUUGAGGACUGGAGAGGAGACUGGAAUUUACGGUGUAGCGGUGAAAUGCGUAGAUAUCGUAAGGAAGACCAGUGGCGAAGGCGGGUCUCUGGACAGUUCCUGACGCUGAGGCACGAAGGCUAGGGGAGCAAACGGG
rnacentral:rRNA from 1 species